rnacentral:lncRNA from 1 species
GUAGUAUUUAAUUUUCCCAGCAUUAGGUUGGCCUUUUGUGUACCCAAGGCAGGUGAAGGAAGUCAAAUAAGAAGCGCUGUGAUUGGAUGUAAGGGUACAAUAUAUUUUUUAUUUAUCUAUGAAUAACUGCAGUGUGUAUAUUUACAACAUAAAUUUUGAAACCUAUUGAAAUAUUUUCUAGAGAAUUAUUUGAAAAGACUUGCAAAAUUUCACAAAUUUGGUGCAAAAUGACGGUGGGCAUGGAUAACAUAAACAAGCUCCGUUGGAAGUUGGUCAUGAUACUAUUUGGCUUUAAUUUUUAAAACACAAUAAUAAAGUACUAACACAACAUAUAACUGUUUUAUCCAGGUUUUUAUCUUAAAAAGUUGUAAAUUUAGAAAAUGUUAAUAUUGUCGCCUAUGGCAGAAUAAAUAGUACCGUUUUCCCUAUACUGAAGAUAGCAAGGGAAAUCAAAGUCCCUAAGACUUCAAUUCUUUUAUACUAUUUUGAAGCUUUUGAUUAGUACAUUUGAUUUUUAUCACAAAGAAUAGAAAUUUUUCACUGAGAACAAUACUGUGUUGAGAAAAGUGCUGAGUCAUCAUGAUAGGUCAAAUUGAUUGGUAAUGAUAUAAAACUUUAUUCUAGGAUGUCAAUACUAACUAUAUUGUGUAAAAUGCAACAUAUUAUAGUUCUUUUGUAUUUGAUUUCGCAAUGAUUUUUUCAAUUGGAAACACCAGAAUUCAAGUCGCGACAAAUAUUUUUUACUGAAAUGUUUGCCUUUUUUGCUGUGUAAUUCCCUAAAUGUAUCACUUUGGUAUUUCUGUAAACAUAAACUAUUAAAAUGGGAAAUUGUCUGGUUUAGUUUGUACUGUUUAUGGAAUUAGGCAUUAUUUGGUCACAUUGGAAGCAUUUUCAGUGUUAUAAUUGUUUAUCUAAGAAAAAAAGAGGCCCACUUGAGGCUAAAUUUACAUAGAAUUUAUGCUCUCCUGUGUAAAAAAUUGUUCACAUUCUUGAUAAUUCAUGCAGCAAAUAUUUCAAAAGUGCUUCAUUUUGUAGUUUCUUUCUUUUAUCAUAUCAGACAUAAAUAAUUUUUCAUUUCCUACUGUUUGAAUGGACUUUUGGGGGAAAUUAAUACUCCCAAGGGACAUAAUUCAGCUUUUUCAUUGAUUAAUACAGGCAACAAAUGCAACUUUACAGCUGAGUAUUUAGCAUAUUUAAUGUUUAAAGUGUCUAAUAUCUUUGUUUUCAUCAUCUCAAGACAGAAUGGUAGAUUUUAUAACAAGCUCUGAAAUUUUUAACCACAAUAUGGCAUAUACUAAAGCAUGGAAUGGAGAUUAGUAUGAAAAAUCUUGAAUUUGUGCAUUUGUUGUAAAUUUUUGAUAAAAUGAAUACAAAUUGAAUGGAACUGUCCAUUUUAUCUGUUUAAAUGGAACUAUUUAUCAUUCUUUUUGAAUAAGAUGAGAUAUGAUUGGAUACAGGUUGUUUAUUUAGGCUUUUCUGAAAGAAGUAGAGAAUGAGGCAAACCAGCAUGUGGGGGUGGGGACAUAAAAUGAUCUAUGUUUCUUUAAGUACUGGGAACAUACAAGUAUUUAUUAUAGCCAAGGUUUUCACAAUAGCCCAGUAUUGCAAUCAUAAUGUCAUAAGAAUUCUUUAUAUCUUUAUGUCACAGUAUAGGGAAAACGGUAGUAUUUAAUUUUCCCAGCAUUAGGUUGGCCUUUUGUGUACCCAAGGCAGGUGAAGGAAGUCAAAUAAGAAGCGCUGUGAUUGGAUGUAAGGGUACAAUAUAUUUUUUAUUUAUCUAUGAAUAACUGCAGUGUGUAUAUUUACAACAUAAAUUUUGAAACCUAUUGAAAUAUUUUCUAGAGAAUUAUUUGAAAAGACUUGCAAAAUUUCACAAAUUUAUUGCAAAAUGACGGUGGGCAUGGAUAACAUAAACAAGCUCCGUUGGAAGUUGGUCAUGAUACUAUUUGGCUUUAAUUUUUAAAACACAAUAAUAAAGUACUAACACAACAUAUAACUGUUUUAUCCAGGUUUUUAUCUUAAAAAGUUGUAAAUUUAGAAAAUGUUAAUAUUGUCGCCUAUGGCAGAAUAAAUAGAACCGUUUUCCCUAUAG